rnacentral:lncRNA from 1 species
UUCAUUUCAUCUCUUCCAUUGAAGCUAUUCUUUCCCUUUAGGUUUUCAACGAGGAAAAUGUUGAGAUUUACCUUGUUUUCACUGCCACGCUUCUUGGAGAGUCUAGAUUUAAGUGGAACUCCAAUUUGUUUUCUUCCAGAAAGCAUCAAGGAUCUUGGUCUACUCAGAGCCCUAUAUUUAAGAAAUUGCAAAAUGCUUCAGGCACUCCCAGAGCUUCCAUUCCUUUUGGAUUUGUUAGAUGUGUCCUUUUGCUAUUCACUGCAAGGACUUGCAAAUCCAAAGAGUUGGACUGAAGGAGAUGGUUGUGAUCACUUAGUCGAGUUCCAAGAUCGGAUAAAGCAAGAAUUAAUUCAAAAGGUAGACUCUCAAAUGUUCAGAAUAAUGGAAACGGUUAGUGCUCAAAUACAGCCAUCGAGAUUUCAGGUCCUCCUUCACCCAUUUUAUUGUUUUGGAAAUCUACAUUUUAAUACUUUUCUUUUACUCAUUUUAUAAACUUUGUUUUGGUGGUACAGAUAACAUUUAUGGAUGGCAUAUUCAACGUUGUCGUCUAUGCAUUUGAAGAUGAGAUGUUCUCCAAUUUGUUUUGUGCAGAGGGAGAAGAGGAUAAAUGGCUAAUUCAGAAUGAGUUUGUAGAUAACUUUUCAUUCAAAAUAUCCUCACCUCCUGCGCACCGGAUAUGUGGCUUUAAUUUAUUCACAGGGCUUGGUGUGACGUCAGCAUACCGUGGCUUUAGUAAUGUUUAUAUUGAAAUCAGAAACAAUACGAGUGGUCAAUCCUUGCUUUGUCAAUUCUUUGUCUUCCCUAUGAGGUACGCGCGUGGUGUUCGGGAAGUCCAAUCGUUAUUGCACACGAAAUUAGGGGGCAAUGAUCCUGCAUUUGAUAAUGGUGAUGACGUGAGUAUUUCAGUGCGUCCACGUGGUCCAGCUAUCCAAAUAAGGACCGUUGGUGUACAAUGGUUGCAUGAAGAGGAAGGAAAGGAUGAAGAUAUCAAUGCCCACAACAGUAGCGAUGAUGAUGAUGCAGCACACGUAGCCGAAGUAGAAAUAGCUUCUCAUAUAGUUAGAAAUUAUAAUUGUGCUUUCCAUGGUAAACGCAGGGCUCGCAAUUUCACUUUUUGGAAUUUUGCAAAGAAGGGUCUACAACUUGAAUUAUUUUAGGUUUCAUUAAGUAGAGGUUUGCUUUUUUAGAUUUCAACCGUAAAAUCAAAAAAGCUGGAAAGCUUUUGAAAUAGUUUUUUCUUUUUUCUUGAAAAGCUUAUCAUGAAAAUAGCAUGAGAUCUUUUAUUUAUAAAUAUUUAUAAGGGCCUUCAUAUUCAAAAAUGUAAUAUGAUAUUAUUUUAUUAAUUUUUAUUUAUAAUAAGACAUAUUAAAUAUAAGUUAACCUUCCAAUUUUCAUGUUAUUUUAUCUAUUUUAUUUCAUUUUUUUAUAUAAAAAAUAAAAUAAAAAUAACACAUGAUAAAAUUUAAUUGGUAAUUUUUUAUCUGACGAGCCCAUUUGCUGUUUUCUCUUAAACAACUAAAAAACGCUCGAGUUCUCUUCCAAUUUUCUGACGAGCCAAGUCAACGGGAAACCUCACACACUCUUUUGACAACAGAAUCCCAUUACUAUCACUCCAUGGAACCUCCAUUCUUAUAAAACAUGAGUGCCGAGGAAAAGGAAAGAACAAAUGAAGACGCGACUUAACAUAAUGAUCUCCUCGUAUGGGCCAAAAUCAGUUCAAAUUAAAGAGACAGUCCUACUGAGAGGACAAUGGUGCUCAUGGUAAGAGAAGCCAAAAUCACCCAACUGAUUAACAAAUCAAGACGGUCAUGAAAUAAUUUGCAUUAUUUCUCUGUUACUGUCUCCUGGUGGCAUGAUGCAGUCCCCUUAAAAAACUUUCUUUAUUGGCUUAGCCAUACAAUUUACAUGUUUUUAGCGAUUCACAUGACAUUAACAAAUGAUACAAGUUUUGGAUAAGAAUCUACAACACGCUAAAACAUCCUUAUUGACGAUCCUUUAUUCCGACAUCAUCUAGGAUUCCUCGAACAAUGAGAUAGUAAAUCGUUAACUCUUUCCCCUCAUUUUGUUAGGUGCUUAGCAUACUGGGUAGCUAUUUCCUGGUGAUUCCUCCGAUCAGGUAGGCAAAAAGUAAUCAUUGAAUUAAUCAAACAGACUAAGAACACAUAUAAAACGAGUUAGAAAACAAUCCAAUAGGCUCAGGCAAUGAUCAACAUGAUACAGAGAACUUUCAACUGAUAUACCUGGUUGCAGCAGGAUCAUGGUCUUGUUUUCUACUUGUGUCUGCAAUGACUACCACUUUCUUAUCCAGUUCAUAUCCAUCAUUCUGAAUAAUGAGAAAGCCCAUUUUAUCAGGACACCAAACAUUCGGUAAAUACCACCCAUAAAAGCUCAUGCCAGUUAGCUCACGAAUAUGCAACAAGGAUGUCUUUUCAGUAUUGAUUCAUGCAGAAAUAAAUUCUGAGUGAUUUUUUUUCCACCGUUGGUAAUCAAUCAAAUCUAUAUUCUAUGAAACUUUCCUCAUCCAGAAGCGAGUAAUCUUAUACAUGUUCUGUAAACUCAUCGUACAGUUGAUUGACUGAUCUUUGUAGCUCUAGAACAAGAUUUGCACCAAGUCUCAACUUUCUCACCAAGUCAUACUCAUCCAUUCAGGAUGAUUUUGAAGCCAUUGGGUUUAUACCGAGCCAGACAAGAUUUACACUUAGUAAAAUUUACCUAUUUCACCAUUGUAUAAUAUGUAAAAGUUUGGGUACAUCAAUUUUUCUAGUAUCUUAAACCAAGAUAUUGUUUGAUUUUCAGGUUUCUAAAGAAGAGUUUGUAGAGGAGUUUUGCAGAGAAGAUGAGAAGAAAUUCUUGUAUAUAUUUUUUGUGUCUUUUCCAAUGCAAGAAUCCUGCUUUUAUACACAUUACAUGUAAUUAAUAACAGAAUCCUAGAUUUUAGGAAUCAAUUCAUCUCAACCAUUCAUCAAUUGAGGGCUACGAUUCUUACACAUGUAAGAAACAGUUUGUAACAGAAAUUAACAGAAAAAACUGCUAUAACUGCUAUAACUGCUUUAACUGUUUUUUUAACUGUUGUAACUGCUUUUAACAGAAACUUCUUCCAUUACUUCAUUCUUCAUUCUUCUGUUUAUAACCUCAGGCUUUACUUCUGAAGCUUUAAAAACAAGUAACCACCUUAACUUUCAACAGCCUCUCCUAAGCUGCUUACUGGUUUAACUCCAAGAUUCAAUCUUAGUUGCUUGAAUCUGUCUUUAGGCAAUGCUUUCGUGAAGAUGUCUGCAAGUUGCUCUUCACUUCUGCAGAAUUGCAUAUUUAUCACUCCCUCUUGCAGAGCUUCUCUUAUGAAAUGAUAUUUUCUAUUUAUGUGUCUGGUUCUUUGAUGAAAAAUAGGAUUCUUGGCCAUUGAAAUUGCUGACAUGUUAUCACAGAACAAAGGUGUUGCUUCGGCUUGCAUUUCACCAAAAUCAUCAAGAACAAAUCUUAACCAAAUUGCCUGAGCUGUUGCUUCAGAUGCUGAGACAUACUCAGCUUCUGCAGUUGAUAAUGCCACUGUGUUCUGUUUCAAAGAAGCCCAAGAGAAUGCUCCACUUCCAAAACUGAAUGCAUAACCAGAGGUGCUCCUGCUGUCAUCUUCACUUCCUGCCCAAUCUGCAUCACAAAAUCCAAUAAGAGUUGCUGACUGAUCUCUAACGUAUUCAAUGCCAUAGCUGAGAGUUCCUUGCACAUAUCUUAGAACCCGUUUUGCAACUCCCAUAUGAAUUUUGGUAGGUCCAUUCAUGAACCGUGACAGCAAACUGGUAGCAUACAUCAAAUCAGGUCUUGUUGCUGUCAAAUAUAGUAAACUUCCUACUAUUUUUCUGUAAAGACCUUCAUCAGCCAACUCACUCCCAUCCACCUUCUUUAGUUUCUCACCAGUGGCCAAAGGAAUAGAGACUGGUUUGCAGUCCUCAAGCCCAAACUUACUAAGCAAGGAUUUGACAUACUUGCUUUGAUGAAUGAAUACUCCUUGAUCGGUUUGCAGUAUUCCCAUGCCAAGAAAAUGGUGAAGAAGUCCAAGAUCAGUCAUCUCAUAUCUCUGCAUCAUUUCCUUUUUGAACUCACUCAGCAUCCUCUCGCUACUACCAGUAUAUACAAUGUCAUCAACAUAGAUUGAGACAAUGAUCAAAUUACCUUCAUGAUCAGACCUUGUAUACAAAGUAGCUUCACUUGUGCUCUUUUUGAAUUUGCACAUGGAGAGGUACGCAUCAAUCUCACUGUACCAGGCCCUUGGUGCCUAUUUUAAUCCAUACAAAGCCUUCCUGAGUUUGUAGAUUUUGUGUCCUGCAUUCUUUACUUCAAACCCCUCAGGCUGCUCUACAUAUACAUCUUCUUCAAGCACACCAUUUAGGAAUGCUGACUUAACAUUCAAUUGGAACAACUUCCAACCCUUUUGUGCUGCAAGUGCAAUAAGAGUUCGAAUUGUAUCUAACCUUGCUACUGGUGCAAAGGUUUCAUUGUAGUCAAUUCCAGAUUUCUGUGCAUAUCCUUUUGCCACAAGUCGAGCCUUGUGUUUCUGUAUUGUUCCAUCAAGAUGAAGUUUGGUUUUGUACACCCAUUUCACUCCUAUAACAAGUUUGUCAGUCGGUCUCUCCACCAAUUCCCAAGUAUUGUUCUUCUCUAUCAUUUCCAGUUCUUCCUUCAUAGCCUCCUGCCAGGCUUUAUCUCCAGCUGCUUCUUGAUAAUUCUCAGGUUCUAUGAUGCACAUGUGGCACCUUGCAUAUAUAUCUUCCAAGGAUUUUUAACUUUACUGGAGUAGAGCUAGGUGUUGAUUGUUGACUGUUAUCACUGUCAGUAUUCUCAACUAACUCUUCAACUGUAGAGUUUGGAUAAGAACAUUCAACAUUAUCGGGUUGGAUUGCAGCAGAAUGUUCUUCAGGAUUUUCACCUUCAGCUUCAUCUCCUUCAAGGUUGAGAGGCAUUUGCAUUUGAUUCAUCCGAUUUCUUCCCCAAUUCCAUGACUUAUCCUCACUGAAGAUCACACUUCUUGAGAGUACAAUCUUCUCAGAUUUCAGAUCAUACACUCUAUAUCCCUUUUCACAACUGCCAUAUCCAACAAAGACUCCUUUUCCAGCUUUGCUAUCCCAUUUCUGCCUUAGGGAUGAUGGGAUAUGUGUGUAGCAUAAACACCCGAACACUUUCAGGUGCUUGACUCCUGGCUUUCUUCUUGUGAAGGCUUCAAAUGGUGUUUUUUCCAUAACUGAUGUUGUGUAACAUCUGUUUUGAAGAUAAACGGUUGUACUCACAGCUUCUGCCCAGAAUCUCACUGGCAUUUCUUUCUCUAUCAACAUGGACUUUGCCAUCUCACAGAUUGUCCUGUUUCUCCUCUCUGCAACUCCAUUCUGUUGAGGAGAGUAUGCAAUUGUCAGCUGCCUCUCCAUUUCUUGUUUUACACAGAAUUCUUGAAACUCAUUUGAGGUAUAUUCACCAGCUCUGUCACUCCUCAACUUCUUCAAUUUAUACCCACUUUGCAGUUCAACAAGAGCUUUAAAUUUCUUGAACACAUUAAGUGUAUCAGAUUUAUUUCGGAGGAAGUAUACCCAGCACAUUCUUGAGUAGUCGUCAUUGAAUGUGAUGAAGUAUUUGUUCCCCCCAACUGAUUCGUUCUGAAUUGGUCCACACAGGUCUGUGUGUAUCAGCUCCAGUGGAUAGCUUGCUCUCCACGUUUGUUCUUUGUUAAAUUUCUCCCUGUGAUGUUUUCUUGAAGCACAGCCUGCACACACAUCUUCCACUUCUGUCAAUACAGGAAGUCCACAUACCAUCUCCUUCUGCUGCAUCUUUUUCAUGCUAGCAAAGUUCAAGUGUCCCAGUCUUCUAUGCCAUAUCCAGGAAUCUUCAAUCACUGAUGCUUUCCUUGCUGCAGGUGUCAUGGACUCAAGUGAAAGGGGAAAGCAUCGAUUUCCUCCCAUGGUUACUAUUGCUACAAUAUUGUUGAGGCUUUCAUCAUCAAAUAUCAUUGCUUUGUUACCUCCAAACAGGAUGUAAUAACCAUGCUCCAUCAUCUGGCUUACACUUAAUAGGUUUUCAUCCAAUCCUGGAACAAGCAGCACCUCUUGUAUGUAUCUCUUCCCAUGCUGAGUCUUCACCACCAGUGUGCCUUUUCCAGUUGCUUACACAAGAUCUCCAGAGCCCAUCUUUACUUUGCAGGUUACAGUUCUAUCAAUGUUGAUUAGUUCAGAUUCUUGAGAUGUCAUAUGGUUCCUGCAGGCACUGUCCACGAACCAUAUAUUUAUGUCUUGCAGACUUGCAGAAUGACAAGCAUAGAACAUGGUUCCUGUGGUUACUCCUUCUUCCUUUGCAUAGUUGGCUAAUUGUUUGUGACUGUGACUAUCACAGUCCUUUGAAAUAUGGCCAAAUCGAUUGCAUCUUCCACAUCUUGGUUUUCCUUUGUGCCUGCACAAUCCAUGAUGAUGCUUCUGGCAGACCUGACACUGUGGUUUUACACCUGCUUGACUGCUCCCCUCAACAGUGUUAUUCCAGCUUGAAUUGUUGUAGCUAUUCAGGUUUCUGUUUGGAGUCCAAUUUGAUCCCCUCCUGUCUUGUGAUUGCCAUUUUUUAGUAGAUCUGCCUUGGAAACCCUUAUGUGAGCUGUAGGCUUGAUUGUUUCCAACCUUUAAACUGCUAAAGGUUUUUUCUGUUCCUGUUAACUUGUCCCUUUCUUCAUGCAGAUCCUCCCUCUUAUCAUAAACUUUGACAGAUGCAAUGACCUCUUCUGCUCUUAGAACAUCAAGGUCUCGUGUCUCUUCAAUGAUAGACACGAUGGACUUAUAUCUUCUGCUUAAACUCAUUUGCAAUUUUUGCACAAUUCUGGUUUCUGAUACAUCUUCUCCUAAUGAUUUCAGAUUAUUCACAGUUGCAAAGAAUUUUGCUAGAUAACCAUCUAAACUUUCACCUUCUGACAUUCUCAUGUAUCCAAAAUCUGCUCUAAUUGCUUGAAGUUUCACAGCUCUAACCUUUUUAUCUCCUCUGAAUUCUCUGCUCAAAAUGUCCCAAGCUCCUUUUGCAGUCUUCUCGUUUCUUAUGCGUGGGAAAAGGUCAUCUGUUAAUGCUCCUUGUAUGAGGCUUAAUGCCUUUGCAUUCUUAAUUUUGUUUUCUCUGGAGGUAGUGGAUGUUUGCAAAGUGGUUUGCUCAGCAUCACUCUCUUCAUUUCCUGAUCCAUCUGCAGCCUCAAGUGAUUGUUUAGAUUGUAUUCCAUCUUCUAUUAUGUCCUAUAGAUCGAAUGCUAUGAGGGUUGUCUCCAUUUUUACAGCCCAAAAAUCAUAAUUUGUGCCAUUGAACUGUGGAGUUCUUAGAUCUCCUCCAGCAGAGCUUGAUCCUACCAUUUUGAGUAAGCAACAGUUUAAUCAAUCUGUUUUCACAGUUUACGCCCCUCUUAGGAAUUAGUUUUAGAGCUCUGAUACCAUGUUUGAUUUUCAGGUUUCUAAAGAAGAGUUUGUAGAAGAGUUUUGCAGAGAAGAUGAGAAGAAAUUCUUGUAUAUAUUUUCUGUGUCUUUUCCAAUGCAAGAAUCCUGCUUUUAUACACAUUACAUGUAAUUAAUAACAGAAUCCUAGAUUUUAGGAAUCAAUUCAUCUCAACCAUUCAUCAAUUGAGGGCUACGAUUCUUACACAUGUAAGAAACGGUUUGUAACAGAAAUUAACAGAAAAAACUGCUAUAACUGCUUUAACUGUUUUUUUAACUGCUGUAACUGCUUUUAACAGAAACUUCUUCCAUUACUUCAUUCUUCAUUCUUCUCGUUAUAACCUCAGGCUUUACUUCUGAAGCUUUAAAAACAAGUAACCAGCUUAACUUUCAACAGAUAUUUCAUCAUGAAUUUUGUAAUAUGUAAGUUCUUUUUAGGUAACGUAUUUUUAGUCUAUUCAAUAAUACUAUUAUAAUUGAUCUGAUUUGAUAAUAAACAUUACAAUGGUAAUUAAUUUACACAGAUAAGUUGUGUACCCAUUCCAUAUGUGUGCUUUUACUGUGAGUUAUAAACUACUAAAUUCACUUUCUUGGAUGUUGUUAGGAUUGCAAGAUGUGUGCUUUUGCAAAUAAUUUAGGCUUCCAGAUGGGCAUCCUUGUGUGCUUGUAAAUGCUGGUAGCAAGUGCUGAUAAAAUAUGUACAAAUAUUUAUCUGAAAUGGCCCGGGGAGUUGAUUUCUGGGAAAUAACUUGAAAAAAAUGCUUUAACGAAGAAGUAAGAUAAUAAUAUUUAAAUACUUCAGCUAAUUGGUGUGUUACAGAAUCUUGAAUUAUCGACAGUUGAUCCUGCAAGCUUUUUUUUCUCAUUUGUCAGAUAUUUGAAAUUGUUUUCGUUGCUAGAUUCAAAAUGGCUGCUGGGAAACAUCAAGAACCCUCGUCUUCACGGUCUUCUCCUUGCAAAUAUCAAGUGUUCUUGGGUUCAGGGGCAAGGACACCCACAAGUACUUUACUGAUCGCUCUUCACAGCCCUUGUUCAAGCAGGGAUUCACACAUUUAGAGACGAUGAUGAAAUUGGGAGAGGAGAAAAUAUCAAGUCAGCUCCGACAGGCAAUACAACAAUAAAAAAAUAUCGAUAAUUGUGUUCUCCAAAGAUUAUGCUUCGUCGAUGUGGUGCUUCGAUGAACUUGUAAUGAUCAUGGAGUGUAAGAGGAAUGCUGACUGCAUAGUUUUGCCAGUAUUCUAUGAUGUGGAUCCAUCUGAAGUCGCUGUAGCAUUAAUAUUGGAUCAUGAAAAGCGUUUCAAGGAGGAGAUGGAGCGAGUGAAUUGGUGGAGGAUUGCUUUGUAGAAAAUUGCAGAUUUAGGAGGAAUGGUUUUAGGAAAUGGGUAAGUUGUAUUUCUGAAUGAAAUUACAAAUAUCAUAAGACUAGAAUGCUGGUAGUGAACUCUUAAUUUUUUCAGGUUUGUAGUAAAGCAUUUAGACAAUGACUGAUAUUACCUCUCCAAUUUAGAAAAAAACUGUACCACUCCCAACUCAGUGAACAUUAAAGAAAAAUAAAAAUAAAAGAAACUUUUUUUUCUCAUUUUCAGAUAUUUUUGUUCUUAGUUACUUGAAAAAAGCAAUGAUUUCUACAUUAUUCCAUUUUCGGUUUCAAUCAUUGACGCACAGCCUGGUUUAAUUUCUUUUUUCCAAGAUACUAAGAUUUUGAAACUUUAUAGAGAGACUACUAAUUAUCAUAUAUUGCAUUUUUCUUUUUGAUGCAGGCAUGAGGCACAGCUUGUCCAAUCUAUUGUCGACAAGGUCUCAAAGAAAUUGGAUCGUAAAAUAUUUCAUAUCCCCCUUCAUUUCAUUGGAAGAGAUCCUCUAGUAAAAAACAUAUCAACUUAUGGUUGCAAGAAUAUGGCUCCCACAGUUCUGCCUUUGAUAUACUCUAUGGGAUUGGUGGAGUAGGGAAGACAACCAUAGCAAAUAGUGUUUAUAACCAGCAGUUUCAUAAGUUUGAAGGUAGGAUCUUUCUAUCAAAUGUUAGAGAAUAGUCAAAAGAAUCCAAUGUUGUAGUUUGCCUACAGAGGCAACUUCUUUCAGAUAUCCUAAACAAUGCUGAUGACAUACAUGAUGUUGAUGAAGGGAUUAUAUUAAAGACGCGUUAUGUUGCAGAAGAAAUCUUAUUGUUCUUGAUGAUGUGGACAAAUGGGACCACUUCAAUGCAAUUGUUGGCACGCGAAAUUGGCUUCGCCAAGGAAGUAAAUCAUUGUAAGAACUAGAAAUAAGGCUUUGAUUGUAGCUGAUGGUGAGUGUGUCAAGUGCAAAGAUGAACCUCUAGAUAACAAAAAAUCACUUAAUCUUUUGAGUUGGCAUGCCUGUGGACAAGCUUACCCAGUUGAAGAUUUUAUUGAGGAAUCUUGGAGAAUAGUACAUCAUUGUAAUGGACUUCCAUUAGCCCUUUGUGCUAUUGGUGCUUCAUUUUUUAGUAAAAGCAGAAAAGUAUGGGAAAGCGCAUUACAUGAAAUGGAAGUGAUUCCAAAUUGUCAAGUUCAAAAGGUUCUUGCAAAAAGUUAGAACUCUCCUGAUGAUGAUUAUCAGAAGAACUUAUUCCUUGAUAUUGCUUAUUUCUUCAAUGGAAUGGAUGAGGAUUAUGCAGCUAGGACACUUGAUGGGUUCGGUAUAGAUGCAAGAUUUAGGAUUGACUAUCUCAUCGAUUGAUGUCUUGUAGAAAUUGUUAAAAUAAAAUAAUAAAAAUUUAUAAAUGCAUCAACUCGUAAGAGACAUGGGAAGGGAAAUUGCUCGUCAAGAAUCACCCAAAUGUCAAAGAAUAUGGCAUCACAUGGAAGCUUUUACAGUUUUGAAAGAAACAAGUGUAAGAGUAACUGGUUCUGUUUUCCUAUCUUCAUGGUAUUUAGGUGUCUUAAAAUGUUCAUGCUUUUACUUUCUUUUCUCAUUUAUUUUCAAUAUUUUGGAAGCAUGAUGCUGAAAAAUUGUGUGGCCUUACCCUGUAUAUGCAUGAAUCCGUACAGAAGUUGUCUGUACUGAUUCAAUGGUUCGCCUGCAACCGCUGCAGGCUUAACUUCUUUCAACAAUGUCUUCUUCCUACAUUCCUCUCUCAAUAGUGGCUUUCUGAGUUUUUCUUGGGGGAACAAGUACAAAUUGACCAAACAAGUUUGUUUCUUGUCCUCAGCACGAAACAAAUUUUCUCUACAUUUUUAUAAGUUCUUGAUCUCUGUUGCUUAUUUUAUAAGUUCUGCUUUAUUUCAACUCUACAUUUUUGUUCUUGUAUAUCUAGAAACUUUUCCCUUUGCUCAUUUUAUAAAUUCUGCUUUGAUGGAACAGAUAGAACUUUAGGGCAACAGAUUCAAUGUUGUCCUUGAAUAUGAUGAAAAUGAGAUGUUUAGGUGGUUUCACGAGGAGGAAGAACAGGAGUAGCUACUUUAGAAAGAGUAUGUAGAGUACUUGCAAUUCAAAAUAUCCUCACCCGCUGCGCACCGGAUAUGUGGCUUUGAUCUAUUCACCGAGUCUGGGUUUCUUACCCCUUAAUUUUUCGAUAGAAUUUUUGGCCGAAAUGAUGUCAAUAGCCAUCAACUUCUCCUCUUAAUUAGAUUUUUCUAACUUGAUUCUUACUUCAGGAUGUCAAUAGCCAUCAACUUCUGGAAUUUAUUUUCUAACUUUUUUCUUACUUCACGAUGUCAAUAGCCGUAACUCCCGGCACCAAAAUUUUCCGACUUUCUGCUUCCGAUAUUAGCCAUGGAAAAUUCCUCACGCGGAAACGUUCCAUACCAUAGAGAGAGAGUGGACUUGUAGGGAUGACUUGUCUUAAAAUUACAAUCCACCCUUUCUCUCUCAAUUUUAAAACCAUUCGCCCAUGUCUUGGGCCCAGUUGUAGACUAGUUCUGAUUACAUAAGGGUGUGUUUGGUAUUAUGAUUUGAAAGUAUUUUAGUAUAUCAAAAUAAUUUGAAAAUAUAAAAAACAUAUUAAUUUAAAAUAAAAAAAUAAAAAAAUAAUAAUUAAAAUUUUACUUUAAAUUAAUAUGUUUUUUAUGUUUUUGUAUCAUUUUGAUGUGCUAAUGUCAAAAAUAAUUUUUAAAAAUAAAAAAAAAAUUAUUUUAAUGUGUUUUGGAAUGAAAAACACUUUGAAAAACAACCGCUACCACACUCUCAAACACGCUCCUAAAAUAAAUUUCAGGUAAUUGCGUUAUCCAAUUAACUUAAAUAACUAUUUGGGAAUGUGGUUGUAGUUGCUUUUUAAAGUGUUUUUCAUUUGGAAAUGCCUCAAAAUGAUAUUUUUUUUUUAUUUUUAAAAAAUUAUUUUUGAUAUCAGCGCAUCAAAAUGAUUUGAAACACUAAAACAAUAUUAAUUUAAAGCAAGGAAAAAAAGAAAAAAAAAUUCAAAUUUUUUCAGAAAUGCUUUUGAAACACAAAAACAAACAUGAUCUUAAGUCAAUUAUUUUAUUUUUUGUUUUAAAAUAAAUUAUUUGAUGUUGAUCUGAUUGAAUUUCAUUCGGAGUUAGCAAGACUUAGUUAAAUUAAUAUUUUUUUUAUUUAAAUUUAAAUUUAAAUUUUAUUUAUAAAAAAUCUGAUUCAGGAGUUUUUUAUAUCCGAGAACAAACUAUUAAAGACCUCAAAUUCCAUAAAUCUUAAAUUCUAAAUAAACAAGAAAUUAAAUUAUUUAAAUGAAAUACUAAUCUAAAAAUUAUACUGGUUGACUAAUUUAUUUAAUUUAACCAAUUGCUUUGUUUUUCAAUUAAUUCUUCAUAAAUCUACUUUACUUUCAACAUAUUCAAAUGAUGCAACAAGAAUUACAGGGCCCGGUAAACUUUCCAAGUCAGAUAUGAAGAGCCUUAUCCUCCACGUGCCUUUAUCUUACUGGUGGGUGAAGUAAGAAGAACCGUGUGAGUUGAUGGGAGGGAUUAUGUGUUGUGUGUGUGUCUAAUGUCCCUUUUGGUAAUUAUAGCAAGAAUUACAGGCCCUAGUAAACGCGUGAUAAAUGAUUUGAGCAAAUUAAAUAAAAAAAGGGUCCUCACGCGGGAAAUGGUCCAUACCACAACGACUUGUAAGGCUGACUUGAAAGCAUAAAAUUGAUGAACUGAUAAGAGAACAUCAGCGAAGGGAAAGUGAAGAUUGCAGGUACUCUCUCUCUCUUAUCUCUUUUAGUAUUAUGUUAUAUUGUGGAAUGUAACUCUGCUGUAAGUGAGAAUCACUUAAAUUAAUUCACUGUUAGAAACUAAUUAUUGAUGAUCUCAUCAACCGAUUUUGUUGGUUCAGCAUAGAGAUUUAUCAUAUUGUGGAAUGUACAGAUAUUUUUCUGAAAGGGCAUGGAGGAUUUGAUUGCUGGGAAAUAACUUGAAAACUGUUUUAAAGAUAAAGUAAGAUAAUAAUAUAUGAAUACUUCAGCUUAUUGGUGUGCUGUCGAUCUUGAACUCUCGACAUCAAUCCUGCAACUCGUUUUAUUUUGUUCAGAUCUUUGAAAAGUCUUAUCUUUGCUAGACUCGAAAUGGCUGCUGGGAAAUAUCAAGAAUCCUACUCUUCACGAUUUUCUAAUUGUAAAUAUCAAGUGUUCUUGAGUUUUAGAGGUGAAGACACCCGCAAGAACUUUACCGAUCACCUCUACAAGGCCCUGGUUGAUGCAGGGUUUCACACAUUUAGAGAUGAUGAUGAAAUUCGGAGAGGAAAGAAUAUAGAGCUGGAGCUCCAGAAGGCAAUACAACAAUCAAAAAUAGCGAUAAUCGUGUUCUCCAAAAACUAUGCUUGGUCGAGAUGGUGCCUCGAUGAACUUGUAAUGAUCAUGGAACGUAAGAGGAAUGCUGACUGCAUAGUUUUCCCAGUAUUCUAUCAUGUAGAUCCAUCUGAAGUCAGAAAUCAAACUGGGAGCUUCGCUGCAGCAUUUGUGGAACAUGAAAAGCACUACAAGGAGGAGAUGGAGCGGGUGAAUGGGUGGAGGAUUGCUUUGAAGGAAGUUGCAAAUUUAGCUGGAAUGGAUUUAGGAGAUGGGUAAGUUAUAUCUCUUGAUGAAACUAUACAUUGCAUAAGACUAGAAUGCUGGUCGUGAACUCUUGAUUUCUUUCGGUUAAGUGUACUGAUAAGAAAACAUAUAAGAAAAAUAAAAUAAAAUACUUAUAAUUUCUUCUUCUUCUUCUUCUUUUUCGAUCAUGAUUUGGUUUUAAUAGGUGGUGAUCAUAACACACCUACAAAUUUAACUAUCAAUCAUGGACACGCAACCCGGUUUAAUUUCUUAGUUAAAUGUUGUUUAUUUCUAUCCUUUAUAGAGAGGCUACUAAUUAUCCCACGUUGUAUUUUACUUUUUGAUGUAGGUACGAGGCACCGUUUGUCCAAUCUAUUGUGGAGAAUGUCUCAAAGAAUUUGGAUCCAAAAAUAUUUUAUGUCCCCCUUCAUUUCAUUGGAAGAGAUGCUCGAGUACAAGAUAUCAACUCAUUGUUGCAAGAUGGAUCCCAUGGUGCUGCCAUUGCUUUACUCUAUGGAAUUGGUGGAGUUGGAAAGACAGCCAUAGCUAAGAGUGUUUUUAACCAGAACUAUUAUAAAUUUGAAGGAAAGAGCUUUCUAUCAAAUUUUAGGUCAAAGGAUAUAGUUUGCCUACAGAGGCAACUUCUUUUCGACAUCCUAAACAAGACUGUCGAGAUAAAUGAUGAAGAUGAAGGAAUUCUGAAGAUUAAGGAUGCAUUAUGUUGCAGAAGAACUCUUAUUAUUCUAGAUGAUGUGGACAAAAGGGACCAAUUCAAUAAAAUCAUUGUCAUGCAAAAUUUGCUUUGUAAAGGAAGUAAAAUCAUUGUAACAACCAGAAAUAAGGGUCUGUUUUCAGCUAAUGAUAUUCAGUGGAUCCGGUACAAAGUUGAACUGCUAGAUGAUGAAAAAUCACUUGAGCUUUUUGUUGGAAAUUUGGCAGAAAUAGAGAACAGAAAUUGAAGGGUUUAGGCUGCACACUCUCUAAUUUGGUAGAAUACAAUACAUAUGAAAAUGGUACUCUCACUCCUUUUUCAUUAUGAGAUUCAUACAAUAUAUAGACAUUAAUAGUUGCGACUCUUCAAUACUAAUAGUUGUAACUCUUCAAUACUAAUAAUUGUGAUCUUCAAUACUAAUAGAUGCAACUCUUCAAUACUAAUAAUUGUGACUCUUCAAUACUAAUCUUGAUAAAUAAGUUUAAUAACUAACAUUCACCCCUCUUAAACUUGUUUCAUCAAUCUUCACGAUUCCAAGCUUCUUCUGCAGAUAACAAAAAACUUCAGUCUUCAAUGGCUUUGUAAAAAUAUCAGCAAUCUGUUCAUGAGUGUUGACAUGAACUAACUCCACAUCGCCUUCUUUUAUGUGCUCUCUAAUAAAAUGAAAUCGAGUAUCAAUAUGCUUUGAACGUUCAUGAUGCACUGGAUUCUUUGCAAGAGCUAUAGCAGACUUGUUAUCAACGAAAAUUCUUGUGGCUUCACUCUGUUUCUGUUGCAGAUCUUCCAUCAAUUUCCUUAGCCAUAUUGCAUGACACACGCAUGAUGCAGCAGCAAUGUAUUCUGCUUCACAUGUGGAUAAUGCAACAAUAGAUUGUUUCUUGGAUGUCCAUGUGAAUGUUGUUUCUCCCAUGAAAAAUAUGAAUUCAGUUGUGCUUUUCCUGUCUUCCAAGCUUCCUGCCCAAUCACUAUCACUAUAACCUGUGAUUUUGAAAUUCUGUGAUGAUGAAUAACAUAAUCCAUAGUUUAAUGUUCCUUUAAUAAACCGAAGGAUCCUCUUUGCUGCCUUCAAAUGUGAACUCCUUGGUCUCUCCAUGUAUCUGCUAACCAAACCAACUCCAAACAGAAUGUCUGGUCUAGUACAAGUUAGAUAACGCAAACACCCCACAAUACUUUUGUAAUAUGUAGGAUUAACUAAAUCUCCUUCUCCUUCUUUAGUUAACCUCGUUCCAUACUCAACUGGAUUGUCUGCUGGAUCACAAUCUUCCAUAGCAAAUUUCUUUAACACUUCUGUUGCAUACUUGGCUUGAGAAACGAAAAUUCCAUUACUGCAUUGCUUCACUUCUAAUCCCAGAAAAUAUGCUAGAAGACCUAAGUCUGUCAUCUCAAAUUCCUUUACCAUGGAUUGCUUGAAAUCUUGAAUCAUUGUAGGAUCAUUCCCUGUGAACAGAAUAUCAUCCACGUAUAAGCAAACAAACAUUAUUCUAUCAUGCAAGUUUUUCUUCACAUAUAAUGCAUGUUCAUACGGGCAUUUUGUAAACCCCUUCUGAGAAAGAUAGCCAUCAAUUCUUGAGUUCCAUGCUCUUGGUGCUUGUUUGAGUCCGUAAAGGGCUUUCUUCAAUCUGCACACCUUUUCUUCUUCUUCUUUUACUACAAAACCAGCUGGUUGCUCAACAUAUACUUCCUCUUCAAGAUUGCCAUUCAAGAAUGCUGAUUUUACGUCCAUCUGAAAUAUCUUCCAUUGUUUCUGAGCAGCCAAUGAAAUCACCAAUCUCACAGUUUCCAUUCUUGCUACUGGAGCAAAAACAUCUUCAUAAUCUACUCCAUAGCGUUGCUUGUACCCUUUUGCAACUAAUCUGGCUUUAUGUUUUUCAAUUUCUCCUUCAGCAUUCUUCUUUGUCUUGAAGAUCCAUUUUACUCCGAUUGCAUUGUGACCUUCAGGAAGUGUUGUCAGCUCCCAUGUAUUGUUCUUCUGAAUGGAAUUGAUCUCCUCCUUCAUUGCUUUCUUCCACUUGUCUUCCUGAUAUGCUUCUUCAAAUGUUAUGGGAUCAUUUCCUGAAAACAAACACAACAUGUUGACAUCAUCAAGGUUCAUUCUCUCUGUCGCGUCAUAGACUUCUUGUAUGCUCUUUGUUUUUCUUGCUGAACUUGAAGGACUAGCGGGGCUGCUAGUUGAUGGGGCUGGAUUGAUUAUGAUUUCUUCUUCAUCAUUCUGCAUUUGUUCUUCUUCUACAACCAAUUUCUGCAGUUGUUCCUCAGUACUCCAGUUCCAUUCUUGCUCUUCAUCAAAUCUCACAUCUCUUGACAUGAUCACCUUUUUUGUUACUGGAUUGAACAAUUUGUAACCAUACGAAUUUUCUCCAUAUCCUAGCAGUAUGCAUUUCUGACUUUUAUCUUCAAGCUUGGUUCGUUUUUCAUCUUGAAUUUUGGCAUAAGCUGUGCUGCCAAAAAUCCUUAAGUGAUCAACUCUCGGUUUCUUCAUGCUCCAGGCUUCUUCUGGUGUAAGCAUAUGCAACCUCUUUGUUGUAAAUCUGUUCAACAAAUACACAGCACACACAACUGCAUCUCCCCAAAAUUCUUUAGGACAAUUCUUUUCUUUUAACAUACAUCUAACCAUGUUCAUAAUAGUCCUAUUUUUCCUCUCCGAUACUCCAUUCUGUUGUGGAGUCUGUGGCAUUGUGAGCUGAUGUGCUAUACCAUUCUCUUUACAAUAAUAAUCAAAAGCAUGAGACACAUACUCUCCUCCCCUAUCAGUUCUCAGAUUUUUCAGCUUGCAUUCACUUUGCUUUUCUACUAGAUUUUUAAAUUCCUUAAACUUGCUCAGCACUUCUUUUUUUUCUUUCAACACAUAUACCCAUGUUUUUCCACUAAAAUCAUCAGUGAAUGUAAGGAAAUACCUGUUUCCCCCUAUUGUUGUAGGUGUAAUUGGCCUACACACAUCUGAAUACACCAAUUCCAGAGGCUGAGAUGCUCUAGAACUCUUCUUUGGGAAGGAUUUUCGGUGCUGCUUUCCCAUCACACACACUUCACACAAAUCGUUUGUGUGUUCGAGCUGUGGUAUUCCCAGAACCAUCCUGUGUUUCUCCAUCAUCAUUAAUGAUCCACAAUUCAGAUGUCCAUAACGCAAAUGCCACAAGUUCGUCAGAUUUGAACUUUCUGCCUUGAAACAGUUUGACAUACACACAUUUACGUCAAGAGGAAACAUCCUGUUUUUGGUCAUCUUGACUGAGGCAAUUAAAGCUCCAGAUUCAUCAAAAAUCUUCAAGUUCUUAUUCUUCAUCUGCACUUCAAAAUCUUGCUCCAGAAAUUGUCCCAGACUUAAGAUGUUACUCUUCAUGUCUGGAACGUAAAAUACUUCUGUUAUGAAUUUCUGCUCACCAUUCUUGAGUUGUAUAAGAAUUCGGCCUCUUCCUUCAACAGGUAUUUGAGAAAGAUCUCCAAAAGUGAUUUUUCCUUUGUAACUCUCAUCAAUAUCUGCAAAUGCUUCCUUCAUGCCACACAUAUGAUUUGAUGCUCCUGUGUCUAGAUACCAGGUACUAGAUCUGCUAUCAUCAAAUUUUCCACAUGCCAGCAGCAGUGCAGGUUCUUCUGAAUCACUUACCUUCUCAGCAAAAUUAACAACUUUGUCUUCAAAUCUGUAUUGUGAACAGUCAGAGGCGAAAUGACCAUAUUCCUUGCAAUUAUAACAUUGCACGCCUGUAUUGUUAUUUCUCCAGUUUGAGUAUCCUCCACGACUUCUUCCUCUGAAUCUGCCUCUGCCUCUGCCAUUGAAAUUCUGAUUUCGUGCACCAUGAAAUUCUUGAUUUCUAUAUGAUCUUCCUCCUCUUCCUCUUCUAUGAAAAAAUCUGCCUCUCUGGAAUGCUCCUCUGUUGGAUUCAUUGGAAUUCUUCAAAGUUAUCUGUGUCUGCAGAGCAUGUUCAAGUGUUCUUCCUUCUCCUCUUCUGUCAAUUUUCUGCUCAUGGGCUUGCAGUGAUCCCAUUAACUCUUCUACUAUCAACUCUUCUAAAUCUUUUGAUUCUUCAAUUGCUACAACCACAUGGUCAAACUUUGAAUCCAGUGAUCUCAAAAUUUUCUCCAUCACACGAACAUCAUCAAUAUUUUCACCAUUCCUUCUCAUCUGGUGAACCAAAGUGAUUACUUUUGUAAAGUAAUCUGAGAUUGUCUCAUUGCCUUCUUUGUUCAGCUUCUCAAAAUCUCCUCUCUGAGAUUGUAGCCGAACUCUUUUUGUUUUUUCAACUCCACUAUAAGUUUUACUAAGCAUUUCCCAUGCUUCCUUUGAUGUCUUUGCUGGUGCCACCAUCUCAAGGGUUGCUUCAUCAAGCCCUUGAUAAAUUGUGAAUAACGCCUUGUUGUCUUUCUUUCUUGAUUCUCUCAGUACUUGUCUCUCUGCAUUGCUCAUCACAGCGUCUUCUCUUGGUUCAGUAUAACCAUCUUCAACCAGCUCCCAUAACUCUUGUGAUCUAAGUAGUGCUUUGUAUUGGAUGCACCACAAAUCAUAGUUUUGUUUGGUAAGGCGAGGAACAUGAAAUUGGGAAUUGUUGUUGUUGGAAGUCAUGUUGUCUCUCGGGCUCUGAUACCAAUUUUGUUGGAAAUUUGGCAGAAAUAGAGAACAGAUAUUGAAGGGUUUAGGCUGCACACUCUCUAAUUUGGUAGAAUACAAUACAUAUGAAAAUGGUACUCUCACUCCUUUUUCAUUAUGAGAUUCAUACAAUAUAUAGACAUUAAUAGUUGCGACUCUUCAAUACUAAUAGUUGUAACUCUUCAAUACUAAUAAUUGUGAUCUUCAAUACUAAUAGAUGCAACUCUUCAAUACUAAUAAUUGUGACUCUUCAAUACUAAUCUUGAUAAAUAAGUUUAAUAACUAACACUUUUCAGUUGGAAUGCCUUUGGACAAGCUAACCCUGUUGAUGGUUUUGUGGAAGACUCUUGGAGAAUAGUACAUCAUUGUAAUGGACUUCCAUUAGCUCUUGGAGUUAUUGGCUCUUCAUUGUCCGGAAAAGGAAGAGAAAUAUGGGAAAGCGCAUUAAAACAAAUGGAAAUGAUUCCUAAUUUUGAUGUUCAAAAGGUUCUUCAAAUAAGUUACGACUUUCUUGAUGGUGAUUAUCCGAAGAACUUAUUCCUUGAUAUCGCAUGUUUCUUCAAUGGAAUGGAUGUGGAUGAUGCAGUUAGGAUACUGGAUGGGCUCGAUAAAGGUGCAAGAUUUGGGAUUGACAAUCUCAUCGAUAGAUGUCUUGUUGAAAUCAACAGUGAUCGAAGGUUGUGGAUGCAUCAACUAGUAAGAGAUAUGGGUAGGGAAAUUGCUCGUCAAGAAUCACCCAAAUGUCAAAGAAUAUGGCAUCAUGGGGAUGCUUUUACAGUUUUGAAAGGAACUACUGUAAGUAGUUGAAUUUUUUUAAAUGUCUACUUAAAUGGUUUGUGGUGCCUUGACAUAUUCAUUCAUCUACUUUCCUUUCUCAUGUACUUUUAAUAUUCUUAUGCAGGAUGCUGAAAAAUUGCGUGGCCUUACCAUUGAUAUGCAUGCAUUAAUGGAAGAUCAUUAUGCAGAAGUUGUCUGUACUGAUUCAAUGGUUUGUCGCAAGCGCCGCAGGCUUAACUUCAUUCAACAAUGGCUUUCCGAUUUUUCCGAUGGGGGGAAAUUACAAACUGGCCAAACAAGUUUGUUUCCCAUCCUCAGCACGGAUGCUUUUAGAAAGAUGCCAGAUAUAAAAUUUCUCCAACUAAACUACACUAAAUUUCAUGGAAGUUUUGAGCACUUUCCCAAGAAUUUGAUAUGGUUAUGUUGGCAUGGAUUGUCUUGGAGCUCCAUACCAAAUCACAUAUGCUUGGAGAAGCUGGUGGUUCUUGAUCUAUCCAGAAGCUGUCUAGUUGAUGCUUGGAAGGGCAAACCGGUAUGAUCAAGUCUCUUUAUAGCUAUCUCUCUCGUUUUCAAUUGAUAACAACUAAAUUCAUGUAUUUUCACAGUUUCUUCCAAAAUUGAAAAUUCUUGAUCUCCGUCACUCUCGUGAUCUCAUUAGAACCCCAGACUUCUCGGGUCUCCCAGCCCUUGAAAAGCUAAUACUUGAAGACUGCAUCCGUUUGGUUCAAAUUCACGAAUCUAUUGGUGAUUUACAAAGAUUGUUGAUCUUAAAUCUAAGAAAUUGUACAAGUCUUAUGGAGCUUCCAGAAGAAAUGAGUAGAUUGAAUUCACUUCAAGAGCUGGUUUUAGAUGGUUGCUCAAAUCUUAACAGCCUGAAUAUGGAGCUAGAGCAUCAUCAGGGACGCAAGUUGCUUCAAAGUGAUGGAAUUGUUGCAAGUACAUCAUUCAUUUCAUCUCUUUCAUUGAAGCUAUUCUUUCCCUCUAGGUUUUCAACGAGAAAAAUGUUGAGAUUUACCUCGUUUUCACUGCCACGCUUCUUGGAGAGUCUAGAUUUAAGUGGAACUUCAAUUCGUUUUCUUCCGGAAAGCAUCAAGGAUCUUGGUCUACUCAGACACCUAUACUUAAAAAAUUGCAAAAUGCUUCAGGGACUCCCAGUGCUUCCAUCCUAUUUAGAUUCGUUAGAUAUGUCCUUUUGCUAUUCACUGCAAAGACCUGCAAAUCCAGAUCACUUAGUCAAGUUCCAAGAUCGGAUAAAGCAAGAAUUAAUCCAAAAGUUUGAGUCUCGCGUGUUCAGAAUAAUGGAAACUGUUAGUGCUCAAAUACAGAUAUCGAGAUUUCAGGUCCUCCCUCAUCCAUUUUAUUGUUUUGGAAAUCUACAUUAGAAUACUUUUCUUUUUCUCAUUUUAUAGACAUUGUUUUGGUGGUACAGAUAAUAUUUAUGGAUGGCAUAUUCAACGUUGUCGUAUUUGUAUUUGAUGAAGAUGAGAUGUUAAGGAGGUUUGAUGAGGAGGAAGAAGAGGAUAAAUGGCUAAUUGAGAAUGAGUUUGUAGAGAACUUUUCAUUCAAAAUAUCCUCAUCACCUCUUGCGCACCGGAUAUGUGGCUUUAAUCUGUUCUUAAGUUGUGUGACGUCAGCAUACCGUGGCUUUAGUUAUGUUUAUAUUGAAAUCAGAAACAAUACCAGUGGCCAGUCCUUGCGUCGUCAAGUCCAUGUCUUUGAUAUGCGUUUCGAGGAUGAGGUUCGUGCAAUCCAAUCGCUAAGCCACUGGAAAUUAGGGGGCGAUGAUCCUACAUUUGAUAGUGGUGAUGACGUGACAAUUUCAAUGGUUGUCACGUCAGCUAUUCAAAUAAGGACCGUUGGUGUACAAUGGUUGCAUGAAGAGGAAGGAAAGGAUGAUGAUAUCCAAUCAAAGGAUGAAGUUAUCAAUGCCCACAACAGUAGCGAUGAUGAUGAUGAUGCAGCACACAUACCCAAAGUAGAAAUAGCUUCUCGUAUUUUUAGAAAUUAUUAUUGUGGUUACCAUGGUAAAUACAGUGCUCGCAAUUUCACUUAUUGGAAUUUUGCAAAGAAGGGUGUAUUAUUUCAACCGUAAGGGGGUUUUGUAUCUCUAGUAAUCUUCCUCCUUUCUUUGUCUAGCAUGAGAUAUUUUAUUUAUAAAUAUUUGUAAGGGCUUUCAUAUUCAAAAAUGUAAUAUGAUAUUAUUUUAUUAAUUUGUAUUUAUAAUAAGACAUAUUAAAUAUCUUAUUUUAUAUGUUAACCUUUUAUUGACCAAAAUAUAUGUAAAUGUUCAUUUUUUUUCAUGUUAUUUUAUCUAUUUUAUUUCAUCUUUUUAUGUAAAAAUAAAAUAAAAAUAACACAUGAUAAAAUUUAAUUAGAAAAUUUUUUUUGUUUCUAUAUAUAUCCUCUCGUAACACGUUUACUUUUAAUAAAAAAUAAAUAAGCAUGUUUGACUAAGAGGAUUUUAUAAUUUGAAUCUAUUUUAUUUUAAUUAAAAAUUGAAUUGAUUUUAUUGAAUUUUCACAAUAAAUUAAUAUAGAUAUUUUUAUUGUAAAAAUAAAAUAUAAUAAUCAUCAAAAUUAGAAAUUUAAAAAUUAAUUUUGAUUGAAAAUUAUCAAAUUAAAAAAUAGAAUUAAAAUUCAAUAACAAAAGUGGAAAUCGUAAAAUUUUCUAUGAGACUCUUUCUUUUCAUAAAAAAAACAGUUACUUUGAGAUCUUGGUUUGAAAGUCUUGUUAUCCUGAAUCAAAAGACGCAAUCUGUUCAUGAUUUCGAUUAAUGAUCGAUGCAAUUGAAUCAGUUUUCAUACACCAGCACUGCACUGGCACCUAUGACCUCAAACAUUAUGACCCUUUUUUUAUCAACAUUAUGAGGAUCUUGGAAUGUGUUUUCAUUUCCCUGGUUUUUGACAGCAACAGUUGUUCUAGGAGACGCGAGAGCCACAAAGUUCUAACCACUUGGACUUUUUAAUGGGUGGCUGUUGUAGCUAUAUCAUGGCAUGCUCUGUUGAUUUUCCCAACCCAUUCUCCUGAUGCAAGAUCAAGUGCUAAAAGUAUUCCAGGUUUAAAUCUUCAAGAAAUUGCUGAGUAUGUCUGAGGAGAAAUAGACCGCAACCUCAUCUUGUAGAGAAUGACCAACGCCACAGAGCUAUGGUUUUGUGUAGACCCUCACAAACCCAUCUUUGCUUCUUUUUUAAGAACUGAGUGGAGGAGGCGGUGGGAGUGGCCCGAUGGCAGUGAUGGAGGUAUUAAAAGCUCGACCUGUGUUGUUGCACAUACACAAGGUUACCUUCUGUAGAAUUUCAAACUUCUGCAAUAACAGUCCUAUAAGCUCUUUAUUAUCUGGGUAACCGCAUGGCAUUCUCUUGCUAUAGGGAGGGUUUUUUUGUACAAAAAAAGAAUAAGGAGGAAUGAUGAGAAACAGAAGAGCAAGAAGGGACGAAGAUAAAAACAGAGAACAUGGGGGAACGAAGGAGAAGACUAAAAAAUACAGGGGGUGAGAAGGAACGAGUGAUGAGAAACAGAACCAGGGAAGACAAACGAGCCUAACACAGAGACGAAAACGAGAAAACACAGAGGAGGGAGCUUCCAUUCAACCAGCAGCACCUCACGCCUUCAUCACCAUCGUCUUCAUCCUGAGCAGAAAACCCAGAGAGAAAGCAAAAGGAAAGAACCAGUCAGAGUAAAGAAAGCGAAAGGAGGAACAGAGGAAGUAUUACAUAAAGCAUCAAAAAGUACGAAGUCAACAGAUGUUCUGCAAGAUGACACUACCUCAAGACAACUAAAGUAAUAUCCAGAAUCAGAGCUCUGCAAAUUAAUGAAAAUUAUCAAUGAGGACAUUACCAUCCCCAUUUGCUGUUCUCUCCAGCUGAUCAUCAUCCCCUUGUUGCUACUAACCAUUUUCCAAGACUGUGAAUUCCACAAGCCCAUUUGAUGUUUUCUCUAAAACAACUAAAAAACGCUUGAGUUCUCUUCCAAUUUUCCGAUGAGCCAAGUCAACGGGAAACCUCACAUACUCUUUUGACAACAGAAUCCUAUUACUAUCACACCAUGGAACCUCCAUUCUUAUAGAAACCCCACUCAGUAACCCUCUUGCCAUCAGCACUUGCAAUCCCUGAUUCCCUAAACCCACACUCUAUAGCCAAAGACACCAAACAUUGUGCAGCUUCAAUGUCCCUCCACUCCACAGCAAUACUCAAUGGCUCAAAACGGAACACCAGUCGGUAGCCGACCCAGUAGCUGAUUCAGAAUCAUGAUCCUCCACGUGCCUUUUUCUUAUUGGUGGGUGGUAUUGAUGCUGGUUUUGGAUGCGAGAGGAUAGAGAUACGACCAGAGCAGGCGCACAGCGAGAGUGGAUGAGUUGGAUCAUGCGGGUGUCUAAUGUCCCUUUUGGUAACUAUACCUCGCAUUCCUAUAUAAUAAAAUAUUUUAUUUAUAAUAUUGUGCUCAUAGUUUUAAAACCUAACCUGAUCGGUGAUCGAUUUGGUCUAAUAAUCAAGUUACGGGUUAGAUAAAUUAACUCAAAUUAACCCGGGUCAAUAAAAAAAAAUUAAUAAAAAAAAUUUACAAUGUCCAUGUUUGGUCACUGUCAUGUCUUACACGAAAAGACUUAAAGCUAAAAUCCAUCAUCCUUUCUUGCAUGGUCUUAUCUCUAUAUGUCACUCCCAAAUAAAUCCAGCAGAGCCCCUUUCCUAGCUGGAAUUCAACAAUCCACCAUCCCCCGACCUCAACAAUUGCAAACCUAGUCAAUAACAGCAGUUUUCACAACAGCCACGUAGCAGCUCCACCACCACCACUCUACAUUCUCUAUCGAUUACAGUCCUUUUAUCACUAAAUCACAACAUCUAUUGCCCUUCUCACGCCACCCAAAUCCUCUCCCCAUAGUGGCCUUUACCAGCAAUUCACAAAAAAACCCGAGCGACCAGCCACCACUUUAAACUGAUAGUCUCUCCACCAUGACCCUUCUCCUCCACCUCUCAGCUUUUUUACACACAAAUACUCGACAGUCUCUUUCCACCAUGCUGCUCGCUCCCCUCCCCUCUAAUCUAUUCUUAUAAAGGCUUGAGAGAAUUGUAACUAAGUUAUAAGAUAAAUGAAGAAAACCAACAAUACGGUCGCUGAGUUAUAAAGCAACAAACAGCACAACCACUUGAAUCUAUAAAGAACAAAAAAAAAAGGAAGGUAGUCGGGCCUUAGCCGGGUUUACCUGGGUCGACUGGGUUCCGGGUUGACUCUUUAAGUCGAUCGGAUUUUGUCGGGCCAACUCCUCGGCGCAUUUUUACUUAGACUCGGACUGGUUCCAGGCCCGGGUCAGCUAGGUCCCGAGUUGACCUGCCGGGUUGGUCCAGGUUUUAAAACUAUGAUCGUGCCGCAUAGACUUGAAGGGUUGUCUUAAAAUUUUGGAGCAGAACUGCUUAGAUUACUGAUACCGAACAACAACCACAACUUAAGAGAGAAGGGAAAGGGAAACUUGCAGGUACUCUCUCUUUCUUAUCUCCUGUUUACUUUGGUUCCAGCUGCUGUCUUGUUUUCUUUGUUGAUGAUCACUUAGAUUGAACCACUGUUAGUGACUACUUGUUUAUCAUCUCAUCUUAUCAUGCCACUCAAGAAAUUAUAAACUAACAAAUUCACCUCCGUACUUAUGUAAGAGAAUAUGCUGAGGUUCUCAUGAGGAAAAACAAUAUUUAGAAAAUAAUGUGUUGUUUCUAUUAGCGUCAGUUGUUAUUGAGAAUCUUAGUGGUAAGACCUAUAACAAGAUGAUUCAUAUAAAAGAAUUAUGUUAGAGACUCAUGAUGAGAUGAUCUGUAUACUGGUGUUGUGUUAAGAACUCCAAAUGAGAUGGUUUAUAUAAAAUUAUUGUGUUAAGGAUCCAAAUGUGAUGACCUACACAUAAAAGAUAUUUGUGGAGAACGAUUGCUAAUCAAGGUCCGAACUUAAAAGACAAGUUUCUUCCAACAUGAGAAGACUAACAUGAAUUUUUUUUUAGAAAAAUAAAUAUUUUUCUUAGUUAAUUUUAUUUUUUUCUAUUUCUAUUUUCCUAUUAAAUAUUAUCAGGCUUUUCUAGUUUUUCUAUUUGAAUGAAAUAUUUUUUUCUAUUUCUAUUUUUAUAUUUAAUGCUAAUAUGGUUUUUUUAGUAUUUCUAUAUAAAGGGUUGUAAUAACUUUUGAUUAGUGGAGACUUAGAUGAAAAAAUAAAUAUUUUGGACGUCUCUCAAUAAUUAUGGUGUUCUGGGUCUUUGAGGGUUUUAACUUAUAACAAAACCUAUUAUUCUCUGUACCUGUCUAUGUUAGUUAAUAUUAGAGUCUAAUGAUUCAUGGUGGUUUUGGUUGGAUGUCGUAGAUGACCUGUAUCAGAGCUCAAUGAUUUCUUAUGGUUAAUUGCUAUGUGUUGUUGAAUAACCAUGGCUAAAACAGGUUGCAGAACAAGACGUAGUUGUGUAGGAGGGGAUGAUAAGGUUUCCCGUAGAAAAAAAUACAUUAAGGAAUUAAUGUGAUGUUUCUAUAUACUUUGGUUGUUGUUAUUGAAAAUCCUAGUGGUAGGACCAAUGAUGGGGUAACCCACAUAAAAGUUGUGUUAGAGAUUUAGGAAGAGAUGACUAAGAUAAAAGUAUUGUAUUAGGGAUCUAUAAUGAGGUGACACUAAAAAAAUAUUGUGUUACACAAAGGAUAUUCAUGGAGGAUGAUUGUUGACCGAGGUUUGAACACAAAGAUAAGUUCUUUUCAACCCCGAAAGACUGAUGGAAGAGUUUUUUAGGAAUAUAUAUAUAUAUAUAUAUAUAUAUAUAUAUAUAUAUAUAUAUAUAUGUCUUUGUAAUUUUUUUUUUAAUUUUUAGCUUCCUAGUCAAUAUUAAAAUACUCGCUCUCAUUGGUUUUUCUAGUUUUUUUUAUUUAUAAUUUGAAUGGAAUAAUUUUUCUAUUUUUAUUUUCUUAUUCAAUAUUAAUAGGGUUAUUUAGUAUUUAUAUAUAAAGGGUUGUAAUAGAUUUUGGCGAGUGGAAAUUUUGAUGAAUAAAAAUUGAAUAUUUUUAAGGGUUUUGAUGUAUAAACAAACCCUAUUAUCAUUCGCUCUCAUAUGUGUCACAAUCAACACGGUCAAACUCUAGCUUCUUUGUAUUUUUUUAAUAUCAAAAUGAUAUAUAUAUAUAUAUAUAUUUUAAUUUUGAAAUGAUAUUAUUUUAGAUUGAUUUGUGUUAAUCGCAUAACCUGUGACCAAUGCGUUGGCCCGAAUCAUAGGUAAGGUCGAGUUUAAUAACUUUUGUUUUCAUAAGAUAAAUUAAGUUCAUUUAGACUAUUUGCAUCAGUUUUAAGAAAUUAAGAAAAAUCAUAGCGUGAUUGAGGUUAAUUCUUAGUUUUAAUGAUAAAAUAAUUCCGACACUAUAAUUUUCAUAUACCGAUAUUAAUUCUUUCUUCAAUCACGUCUUCAACAAACCAUUUAUAUGCAUAUAUAGAUUGAUGUAUAUCAUAAAAGUUUAUUUACAAGAAAAUUUUUUGAAUUUGAAUUUUGAGUAUGAUAGCUACAUGAAAUCUACUUACCGUCUUAGUAAAAGAUUAUUAUUUAAUAACUAGGUUAUUUCCCACGCUAAGCUAUGACUUGGAUCAAAAUUAUUUUGAAUAUAAAAAAAUAAUAUCCUAGUUGUGAGGAAUUUUUUAUCAUGAAACUAGUUCAAUAGAUCAAAUUUAAAAACUCUCGAUUUGAUUUUUUAGUCUAAAUUUCAAAUUAAAUAUAUAAUGUUGUAGUUAUUUCAAUAUCACCUAAUCUCUUGUCGGGUGAAGAAUAACAAAUCAAAGAAUAGAAAAUAAUAAAUGACAAAAAAAUAUAAUUUGAUUUUUUAAAAAAUAAAGGUUGAUAUAAAAACAUGUUAGAUCGUAACCCUGGUGAAGCAAUAAAGAGAUUUACAUCCACUGCUUCCUGCAUGAUGUUUGGUUCUGUGGUAUAAAGAACAUGUGGUAUCCUAACUACUGCUUUGAAAAUCCAAAGUACAUAAUUCCUACAGCUAAACCCGAAAUUGGGCUUAUGCUGAAUUAUUAGGACUCGUUUACAUGCUAUACAUCUAGAUAUGACUGUUGAUAAUAACCUUACAUGCAGAGAUAUACCUAUGGUUUGUGUUAUAUAACAUUGAAAUUAUAAUUCCUUUGUCAAUCUUUGUAACAUGUAUCCAAUUGAGGCUUCUACGGGCUCAUAAUAGAACCUUGAAUUUUCUGUUUUGCAAAACUAGCUAGAGCCUUCCUUUGAUUCGUGACGCUUUCGGUGUAUCCUGCCAGAAGUGGAAGACUACCUUGUUCUCCCUUUUUACUUGCUUGUCCUCGAAUUAUCUGUCGGUGAUUCCUCGACAAAGAUGGUUAGUUGGUUACCUUUGAUGCUCAUGAUCGCUCUGCUUGUUGACACACAUUUGUAAUCUCUCUUCUAGACAUGCUGAAUACAGCAAGAGCAAACAUGAGUACCGAGGAAAAGGAAAGAACAAAUGAAGACGCAACUUAACAUAAUGAUCUCCUCGUAUGGCCAAAAUCAGUUCAAAUUAAAGAGACAGUACUGAGAGGACAACGGUGCUCAUGGUAAGAGAAGCCAAAAUCACCCAACUGAUUAACAAAUCAAGACGGUCAUUAAACAAUUUGAUCACUUCUCUGUUACUGUCUCAUGGUGGGUGCACAUGUUUACCCAAUUACAUGUGCUGAAUUGUUAAGUGGGGAGAAUUUUUUCAGUUGCCUUGAUGGAAGGCAAAAUUGGGACACUCUAGACACCCGAUCAUGUGAACAAUUAGAGGUGUAGAGUGGAAACUGAUUAAGACCAAUCUUGACGAAUCUAAGAACUGGUAGUCUCGCCAGAUGUUGAGAAAUCAUGUAUUAAACCAGUAUAUUCCAGAUCACUUGUAAAGGAAAGCCGCAACAAAGCUAGCAAAUGGUUGUAUAUACGGAAAGACAGUAUGAUGGAUAGAUAUGGCCUAAGAAGUUCUGGCUAGGAGAUUGGGUUUUAAGCGGGACCAGUGUGACCCCUCCAAUCUUUCCUGGGAACUUGCUUAGUGGAAGGAUUAUCCAUACGGUACUAUUUUCGUAUAUAUAGCAGUUUGUAAUGAAACGGUUGAAGACUAGCAGGAUGACGGCACAAGGGAACAGUUGGGUUUCGUAUGUUCAAGGAUCUGAUGGAGUGAUGAUUUCUCCAAAAAAGUUAGAUUCGGUGACUGUGAUUUCUCGAGGGUAGAAUUGAUGAAGACCCUGAUAAUGGAAGAGAAAUACAAGGGAAUAAAGAUUGACACCCUAUUUUGACUUGGACAGAUGUUGUGACAGGAUGAGCUGCUAUCAAACAUAAGCAAGGAAUAUGGAGAAAUCUGGAGAACAUAAAUUGCACGAGGGCACACGGAGAUUGUGCAGGAGUACCCGUGAUUCAACGAGGUACUGUAAUGAGACAACAGGUGCAAGGAGAAGAAGAGUUCCCAGAUGAAGCUCAGAGUAUAGACUAUGUAGAAGUUGGACAACAGGAAGUCUCUUGUGCUCUUGAUGAAGACAAAAGGCGAAGACCUUUCCAAUGCAUGCAAGGAUGGAAAGAGAGCUGUUGUAGAAGCACCUAAUUGAGGAGGUGCAAAUGCCUGCGAUAAAAGGCGACCGUCUACUAUGAAAGGCGAAGACACCAAAAAGAGUUGGUGUAGGUGGAGCUGUCAAGCAGAAAGGCACAGAAGCUCCAAACAUAGAAAUCGAGGUGGAGGAUUGCAAGGAGUAUACCGUAAGUUUCUUUUUCUAUAUAAUCAGUGGCAGUUAUCUCUUCCAUAGUCCACAUGGUGGUAGAGACUUUUGGAGCCACUUUGAAGCAUCUCAACUAAAGGAGGAUGCGACCACCUAUGAAAGGUGAAGACACCUUAGAUGGAAGGUGUGUGGGCCAUGAUAGGAGCCCAUAUCAGACCGCCCCACGACAACGGGCGAAGACACCUUAAAGAAGGUGUGUGGGCCGUGAUUGUGCCAUCACAACUAUUUUCGUAUAUAUAGCAGUUUGAAAUGAAAUGGUUGAAGACUAGCAAGACGACGACACAAGGGAACAAUUGGGUUCCGUAUGUUCAAGGAUCUGAUGGAGUGGUGAUUUCUCCAAAGAAAGAUUUGGUGACUGUUUUUUCUCGAUGGUAGAAAGCCCGGAUCAGACCGCCCCAUGACAACGGGCGAAGACACCUUAGAGAAGGUGUGUGGGUCGUGAUAGGAGCCCCGGAUCAGACCGCCCCAUGACAACAGGCGAAGACACCUUAGAGAAGGUGUGAGGGUCGUGAUAGGAGCCCCAUUUCAGAUCGCCGCAUGACGACGAGCGGAGACACCUGAGGAGAAGAUGUGUGGGCCAAGAUAUGAGCCCAGUUCAGAACGCCCCAGAGCCAAUGUGAUGGCUAGAUAUGAGUGGACAGGUGUAUAGCCAAUGAAGUGGCUAUGAUGAGUAUGAAGACAAAUGCAGGAUUGACUUUUAUGGAUAUUGCCCCCAUGCUAAAGAUCAAUGAGUUAAAAGACAUUUUCCUUGGACAAUAAGUGGGUGACUUGUGGAGCAUUAAGACGCGACUGCUAGGAAUGAGCAGUAGGCAUGCGCAGGUUCCGGGAACAAGUUGACUCUUGUCAAGGUGGUGAGCUCGGUGAAGGCAUUGUAAUACUCAAAGUAUCAAGACAUAUAUGGAUCAAACUUUAAUGGGCUAUCCCCAUAGGUAAAGGUGGAAAGCUACCUGGACUCUUGAGACUAAGAGCGAGAGACUCAUGGAGAAGUAAGGCGUGGUUCCUAGGGUGGAACAGAGGGUAGACGCAACUCCUAGAUGAGUAGACUCUUGGAAGAGUGUUGAGCUCGUGAUCAUAUUGAGAUACUCAGAUAAUGACUGUCGCACUUGGAAAUGGAAAUUUCUGUUUGAGGGGGUGUUGUAAGCCUUGGUGUAAGGCUUGAUGAUUCAUUCCGGACCGAGCAUGGUUGAUACGCUCGAAGGGGAAUGCAGUGUGUCCCAGAGACAAGCGUUAACACUCUUCAGAAGUGAAGUGGCAGACCAUCUAGUUGUUGUGAUCCUUUUGUGUGAGAAAAGGUGUGCUUUGGUAACUCUGGUGAUUGAAAGGUUUGGCGAGUACCUGUAAACUUGGCCACAGAUGCUCUCAGAAUGAUAAGCUUGGAAGAGUUGCAUGAUGCAAGCUUGUGCUGAAGAAGUAAGAGGACAAUUGCCCAUAUAAAUAUCAAAGGGGGUGAUUGUUGGGAUAUUGCCAUUAAUGGGCAAUAACAGUUGCAGCCUACCUUAAGAAAGAGGGAAGCCAUUGUCAAAAGGCUACAAUGGUUGUUGCACCAACCAUUGAUAAAAUGGUGCAACCCAUGUGCAGCCACCUUUGUUGAAGAAGAGCUGGAGCUGUGGCACCAUUCUUGCCUAUAAAUAGGCACCGAGAGAGAGAGCAAAGUUGAGAGCAGAAAGUGUGGUGAGUGAGUGCAAGAGAGUAGAGAGAAAGAGAGAGCUGCAAUGGCAGCAGCCUUGCUGCCAUUGCAGCUGCUGCAAGUGCAGCAAUGAGAGCUGGGAGUAGAGUUUGAGUGAAGUGAUCCUCCUCCUCCAUGUAUUUGUAUUGUAUCCUUUCUCUAUCUCUAAUAAUAUUGAUCCUCUCCCGUGGAUGUAGGCAAUUUGCCGAACCACGUUAAAUAUUGUCUCAGUGUGCUUAGCCUCCUAUGAGCAACUAUCAGUACACCACCGGUCCGCGCAUAGGGGAGCCGAAAUCCCCAACAGGUGGCAUGAUGCAGUCCCCUAAAAAAACUUUUUUAUGGGGUUAUACAUACACUUUUCAUAUUUCUAAUAAUUCACAUGACAUUAACAAAUGAUACGAGUCUUAAAUAAGAAUCUACAAUACACUAAAACAUCCUUAUUAACGAUCCUUAACUCCGACAGCAUCUAGGAUUCCUUGAAUAAUAAGAUAUCUCACACACACCUAGAAAUCCUUGACUCCUUCCCCUCAUUUUGUUAGGUGCUUAGCAUACUGGCAGCUAUUUCCAUGUGAUUCCUCCUAUCAGGUAGGCAAAAAGUAAUCAUUGCAUUAAACAAACUAAGAGUGCGUUUGGAAAUAUGGUUGAAAUUGUGUUUUCUUAAAAUUCAAUUUUGUUUUGCUAAAAAUUAUUUUUUUAUGUUUUCAGAUCGUUUUGAUGUGCUAAUCUCAAAAAUGAUUUUUUAAAAAAUAAAAAAAUAUUAUUUUAAUGUAUUUCUAAAUGAAAAACACUUUGAACUGCAACCGCUAUUACAAUCCCAAACAAGUCUAAGAACACAUAUAAAACGAGUUAGAAAACAAUCCAAUUGGCUCAGGCAAUGAUCAACAUGAUACAAAGAACUUUCAACUGAUAUACCUUAUUGCAGGAAGAUCAAGGUCUUGUUUUCUAUUUGUGUUUGCAAUGACUUCAGAAAGAGUUUGAAGAGUACCUGUCAUUCCAAAUAUCCUCACCCGCUGCGCACCGGAUAUGUGGCUUUAAGCUAUUCACAAGGUUAAUUUUCUGUCAUGUCAGAAUACGGUCGCUAUGAUUAUGUUUAUCUUGAAAUCAGAAACAAUAUCAGUGGCCGAUACUUGUUUUGUCCAGCCUUUGUCUUUCCUACAGAUUACGAUCAUGGGAUUGCUGAAUUCCAAUCGCUAAGCCACUGCAAAAUAGGGGUCGAUGAUCCUACAUUUGAUAAUGGUGAUGACGUGAGUAUUUCAGUGCUUCCACAUCAUCCAGCUAUCCACAUAAUCUUUCUUCCAUUUAUUGUGUAUGGGACUUUGCUUGCUAAAUUAUUAUGCCUAAACAAUAAGACAUCAUAUUCCAACUCCAUACCCAAAUACUCGCCUCAAGCAAAGAUUCCAAAACACACCACCACACCCGCCAGACCACCUUGCAAUGCAUGAUAAUAUGACUCAGAUUCGGCAGCUUCAGUCCACAACACCUGGAUAAACAAUUCACGUUAUAGCAUGCUUGGCGAGCAAUUAUGCGGCGAGUACUAAGUGAUCUGCCUACAAUAGGCCUAACAUCCUCCCCAAUCGAGAAGGAUUUUGCUGGAAACAAAACCAUAACCCCCAGGUGGUCUAAAUGUAGAGAAAAGUUAGUCAGGCUGAAUAAUCUCAACAGCUGUAUUUCUCAUUAUCACCCCUCUUCAAACGAAUCCUCAUCGUGACCCUGCUUUAUCAGAAUUAUCGCAGAGAACUUUUCAGUGAUAGGAAGUUGAAUAUGUAAUCGAUAACUUAUUAAGUUGUUUAUGUGGUGGAUGUUUUAUUGUAUAAUAUGAAAAUCAUGUGCUUGCGUUACAACUUCUCUCUUUUUUCUUUCUCUCUCUUCCUCUUCUGCUAUUUAUCUCGCCAACCAAACCUCCCACUCUUUCUUUCUAGAAAUAAAGUUUAGAAGUCAAUUUGUUAGAAAUUAGAAGAAUCAAUAAGUCUAGGGACUUAAUUGAAAUUUGGUUUAUGUUAAUUAAUGCAACUAGGGACUUAAUUGAAGAAAAAAAAAAGUUUGAGAAUCAAUUUGUGUCAAGAUUGCAAUAAUUAAAGGUUCAAAGACUAAAAUGAAUGGGUGUUGAAGUUUUGAGAGGCAAAUUAAUUUAAUCAAGGGUGAAAUCAAAAUAAUUAAAAGUAUAAAAAGGCAAUUGAGGAUGAAAUUAAAGAAUAUCAAGACCAAUGACCAUGCUGUAAAAGAUACUAAGUGCUCAAUCAAAGAAAUCAAGUGGCAUAAUUGAAAAGAUUAUUAAAGAUUGUGACCAAUUGAGGGUUUGUUUGUGAAAUAACAAGAAAUAGGAACCAAAAUUGACUUUCACUUAUUCAAAUUUUUUUUAGGUAAUUAGUUUAGAAUUAAACUUAUUUACAUGCAAUUGGCUAAUUAACAUACAAUUUGAAACAUAAUAAAGGCUGCCUAUUAAAUAUAUGUAUUAAUAGAAAACAAUUUAAAAAAAAUAAUCUUAAAACUAGGUAAAAUAUAAGUUGAGUGAACUCUUCACUCCAUGAUAGGGAAACAAAUUGAAUAAAAUCAAUUGGUUUGUAGCAAUUCAAUUUAAAUUAUUUUCUCUUGUAUAGAGGAGGUGUUGCUAAUUUUUUUUUUAAAUAGGAAUGGUUUAUGACAUUUUAAUUUUUUAAUUUGUGUAGAUGUCAAGAGGAAAGUCAAUCGCGUGUCAUAUGAACAUGAUCACUGCUAGUUCUUGUAGCAAUGCUUCUGACGACCAUGAAUUGUUAGGUGUCGAUCAAGAAUAAACACCUGAAAGAUAGAUAUUUACUUACGAUACGAGCUCGUUGAGUACCUUCUGAGUGAAAUUUUAAAUGGAAUUUUUAUUAUUUUUUUUUUAUUCUAUCAAAUUUUUUUGAUAUUACAUAUUUCAUCGCUAUCUAUGUCAGAAAUAAAUAGCAUAAAUUUUCUAUCUUAUUGGUGGAAUAUUUUUCGUAGGUAUUUUCAUAGCUAUUUGCUAGUUUUCUUCUAGUAGUGAAACGACUAAAAAAGAAAAGUUGCAUUAGUCCUAAAUGUUAGGAGUAAAUUGAAAGCAAUCCCCAUUUGUUUUUAGUAUGAUCAGAUUUCUUUGCUCAACUACUUGAAAGACAUUUGAUACAAUACGUUUUGGUCUAAACCGAAGACAAUAUUUUUUAUAAAAUUAAUUGACCUGUUGUUGAUUGGUCUACUAACGAUGUUUUAUGAAAAAAAAAAAAAACCAUUUAUAAAAGCAUGUGAGGAGAAACUGAUUGGAAUAUAGACGUAAUGGAAAACUAGGAGAAAUUAAUGGCAUGACUGGUCAUGCCUAGACAUUCCGACUUUCUGCUUCCGGCAUUAAUUAGCCAUGGAAAAUUCCUCACGCGGAAAUGGUCCAUACCAUAGAGAGAGAGGACUUGUAGGGAUGACUUGUCUUAAAAUUACAAUCCACCCUUUCUCUCUCAAUUUUAAAACCAUUCGCCCAUGUCUUGGGCCCAGUUGUAGACUUGGUCUGAGGAUCUAUCGGAGACGUUUCGUUUUAACAAGACAGCAGAGUUCCGCGUCUUUGAAUCAUUGGCAAUGGCAGCUAUGAAUUCGAUGGAAUUUGGAUAUAAAAAACUCGUGAAUUAUAUUUUUUAUAAAUAAAAUUUAAAUUUAAAUAAAAAAAUAUUAAUUUAACUAAACCUUGCUAACUCCCAAUAGGAUCAAUAUCAAAUAAUUAUUUUUAAAACAAAAGGUAAAAUAAUUUUAUUUUUAUAAAAUAACUGACUUAAGUUAAUUGGAUAACGCAGUUACCCGGAAUUUAUUUUAGAAGCAUAUUUAAGAGUAUGGUAGUAAUUACUUUUUUAAAUUGUUUUUCAUUCCAAAACAUAUUAAAAUAAUAUUUUUUUAAUUUUUAAAAAUUAUUUUUAAUAUUAGCACAUUAAAAUGAUUUGAAAACAUCAAAAAUAUAUUAAUUUAAAAAAAAAAUUUAAUUUUUUUUUAAAAUACUUUCAACCUGUAAUACCAAACAUAUCCUAAUUGUGUUUGUACGAGUGUCUCUAAUAUCCCUUUUGGUAAUUAUACUCUACGCGUGAUAAAUGAUUUGAAUUUUGAGACAAUUAGAAUAAAAAAAAAUGGUCCUAACGCGGAAAUGGCCCAGACCCCAGACUUGUAAGGUUUAUACAAGAAUUGUCUGGCAACGUAGUAUAACUUGUAUUUUUAAAAAUUUUAAAAUUUUUUAUUUUAAAUUUUUUAAAAAUAUUUUUAAAUUAUUUUAAUAAGCUUAUAUUAAAAAUAAUAUAUUUAAAAUAAAAAAAAUAUUAUUUUAAUUAUUUCUAAAAAAAUAUCCCUUUAAAAAAUAACAACACUUUCGAUCACAACCUAAAAGCAUAAAAUUGAUGAACUGAUAAGAGAACAUCAGCGAAGGGAAAGUGAAAAUUGAUGAACUGAUAAAAGCAUAAAGGUACUCUCUCUCUCUUAUCUCUUUUAGUAUUAUGUUAUAUUGUGGAAUGUAACUCUGCUGUAAGUGAGAAUCACUUAAAUUAAUUCACUGUUAGAAACUAAUCAUAGAUGAUCUCAUCAACCGAUUUUGUUGGUUCAGCAUAGAGAUUUAUCAGAUGUACAAAUAUUUUUCUGAAAGGGCAUGGAGGAUUUGAUUGCCGGGAAAUAACUUGAAAACUGUUUUACAGAAAAAAGUAAGAUAAUAAUAUAUGAAUACUUCAGCUUAUUGGUGUGCUAUCGAUCUUGAACUAUCGACUUGAAUCCCGCAACUCCUUUUUUUUUUUGUUCAGAUCUUUGAAAAGUCUUAUCUUCGCUAGACUCGAAAUGGCUGCUGGGAAAUAUCAAGAAUCCUACUCUUCACGGUUUUCUUAUUGUAAAUAUCAAGUGUUCUUGAGUUUUAGAGGUGAAGACACCCGCAAGAACUUUACCGAUCACCUCUACAAGGCCCUGGUUGAUGCAGGGAUUCACGCAUUUAGAGAUGAUGAUGAAAUUCGGAGAGGAAAGAAUAUAGAGCUGGAGCUCCAGAAGGCAAUACAGCAAUCAAAAAUAGCGAUAAUCGUGUUCUCCAAAAACUAUGCUUGGUCGAGAUGGUGCCUCGAUGAACUCGUAAUGAUCAUGGAACGUAGGAGGACUACCGGCUCCAUAGUUUUCCCAGUUUUCUAUGAUGUGGAUCCAUCCCAAGUCGGACGUCAAACAGGGAGCUUCGCUGCAGCAUUUGUGGAACAUGAAAAGAGCUUCAACGAGGAGAUGGAGCGGGUGAAUGGGUGGAGAAUUGCUUUGAAGGAAGUGGCUGAUUUAGCUGGAAUGGUUUUAGGAGACAGGUAAGUUGUAUCUCUUUAUGAAACUAUACAUAGCAUAAGACUAGAAUGCUGGUCGUGAACUCUAAAUUUCUUUCAGUUAAGUAUACCGAUAAGAAAACAUAUAAAAAAAAUAAAAUAAAAUACUUAUGAUUUCUUCGUUGUUUUUUUUUUUUUCCAAUCUUGAUUUGGUUUUAAUAGCGGUGAUAACGCACCUACAAAAUUAACUAUCAAUCAAUCAUUGACACGCAACCUGCUUUAAUUUCUUAUCUAAAUGUUGUUUAUUUCAAUCCUUUAUAGAGAGGCUACUAAUUAUCCUACGUUGUAUUUUACCUUUUGAUGUAGGUACGAGGCACAGUUUGUCCAAUCUAUUGUGGAGAAUGUCUCAAAGAAUUUGGAUCCAAAAAUAUUUAAUGUUCCCCUUCAUUUCAUUGGAAGAGAUCCUCUGGUACAAUAUAUCAACUCAUGGUUGCAAGAUGGAUCCCAUGGUGCUGCCAUUGCUUUACUCUAUGGAAUUGGUGGAGUUGGAAAGACAGCCAUAGCUAAGAGUGUUUUUAACCAGAACUUUUAUAAAUUUGAAGGAAAGAGCUUUCUAUCAAAUUUUAGGUCAAAGGAUAUAGUUUGCCAAUAGACCCAACUUCUUUUUGACAUCCUAAACAAGACUGUUGAGAUAAAUGAUGAAGAUGAAGGAAUUCUGAAAAUUAAGGAUGCAAUAUGUUGCAGAAGAACUCUUAUUGUUCUAGAUGAUGUGGACAAAAGGGACCAAUUCAAUAAAAUCAUUGGCAUGCAAAAUUGGCUUUGUAAAGGAAGUAAAAUCAUUGUAACAACCAGAAAUAAGGGUCUGUUUUCAACUAAUGAUAUUGAAGGGGUCCGGUGCAAAGUUGAACCGCUAGAUGAUGAAAAAUCACUUGAGCUUUUCAGUUGGAAUGCCUUUGGACAAGCUGACCCUGUUGAUGGUUUUGUAGAAGACUCUUGGAGAAUAGUACAUCAUUGUAAUGGACUUCCAUUAGCUCUUCGAGUUAUUGGCUCUUCAUUGUCCGGAAAAGGAAGAGAGAUAUGGGAAAGCGCAUUCCAACAAAUGGAAGUGAUUCCUAAUUUUGAAGUUCAAAAGGUUCUUCGAAUAAGUUACGACUUUCUUGAUGGUGAUUAUCCGAAGAUCUUAUUCCUUGAUAUCACAUGUUUCUUCAAUGGAAUGGAUGUGGAUGAUGCAGUUAGGAUACUGGAUGGGCUCGAUAAAGGUGCAAGAUUUGGGAUUGACAAUCUCAUCGAUAGAUGUCUUGUUGAAAUCAACAAUGAUCAAAGGUUGUGGAUGCAUCAACUAGUAAUAGAUAUGGGAAGGGAAAUUGCUCGUCAAGAAUCACCCAAAUGUCAAAGAAUAUGGCAUCAAGGGGAUGCUUUUACAGUUUUGAAAGGAACUACUGUAAGUAGCUGAAUUUUUUUAAAUGUCUACUUAAAUGGUUUGUGGUGCCUUGACAUAUUCAUUCAUCUACUUUCCUUUCUCAUGUACUUUUAAUAUUGUUAUGCAGGAUGCUGAAAAAUUGCGUGGCCUUACCAUUGAUAUGCAUGCAUUAAUGGAAUAUCAUUAUGCAGAAGUUGUCUGUACUGAUUCAAUGGUUUGUCGCAAGCGCCGCAGGCUUAACUUCUUUCAACAAUGGCUUUCCGAUUUUUUCGAUGGGGGAAAAUUACAAACUGGCCAAACAAGUUUGUUUCCCAUCCUCAACACGGAUGCUUUUAGAAAGAUGCCAGAUGUAAAAUUUCUCCAACUAAACUACACUAAUUUUCAUGGAAGUUUUGAGCACUUUCCCAAGAAUUUGAUAUGGUUAUGUUGGCAUGGAUUGUCUUGGAGCUCCAUACCAAAUCACGUAUGCUUGGAGAAGCUGGUGGUUCUUGAUCUAUCCAGAAGUUGUCUAGUUGAUGCUUGGAAGGGCAAACCGGUAUGUAUCAAGUCUCUAUAGCUAUCUCUCUCGUUUUCAAUUGAUAACAACUAAAUUCAUGUAUUUUCACAGUUUCUUUCAAAAUUGAAAAUUCUUGAUCUUCGUCACUCUCGUAAUCUAAUUAGAACCCCAGACUUCUCGGGUCUCCCAGCCCUUGAAAAGCUAAUACUUGAAGACUGCAUCAGUUUGGUUCAAAUUCACGAAUCUAUUGGUGAUUUACAAAGAUUGUUGAUCUUAAAUCUAAGAAAUUGUACAAGUCUUAUGGAGCUUCCAGAAGAAAUGAGUAGAUUGAAUUCACUUCAAGAGCUGGUUUUAGAUGGUUGCUCAAAUCUUAACAGCCUGAAUAUGGAGUUAGAGCAUCAUCAAGGGCGCAAGUUGCUUCAAAGUGAUGGAAUUGUUGCAAGUACAUCAUUCAUUUCUGUUAGUUAGUGGAGACAAACAAUGUCCCACCAUAUGCAAGUGGGAAUACCUAAUCUCCCACUUGGCACAUGGUGGAGGACACAAACGGUGGGCAUAAAUCAAGGCAUGAUUUAUGCCCCUUUACUCCCAUCUUGUAUACAUAUAAGCUCAGUGAAGAGCUGCGUGUGUGAGUGUAAAAACAUAGAGAGAACAGAAGAGAAGUGAGAACAGCAGAGAGAGCUUGUGUGAGUGGAGUUGAGUCGAGAAGAGUUUUCUCCUCCUCCUUUGUUUGUAUUGUUUCUUUGAGUGAUUAAUACAAGACAGUAGCUCCGUGGAGUAGGCAAGUUGCCGAACCACGUAAAUUUGUGUGUGUUUGAGUUCUGGAAUUUCCCAACAACUGGUAUCAGAGCUUGUUCUUGACAAAGAGGGUGUUUGAUCCAAACUCAAAAAUCAAAGUUCUCCAAACGUGUUUUUGAACAUACCAUCGUGUAGAGGACAACCGGACGAAUCCACUGUUGAAAACCCGGCGAAGAACCGACGUCCUGCAUGCCCGCACGCGCCCACACGCGCCGACGUCCAGACUGCCCACGCGCACCAACGCGCCGUACGCCCGCCACGCUCCAUCUUCGCCCGGAUUCUGCAAAACGGGUCGGGCUGACCCGCCACGUCAUCACAUCCGUACGGUCAACGUCCGCGUCACCUGCCACGUCACCUGCCACGUCAUCUCUGAGUUUUGUUCCGAUGUGUCGCAGAAGCUGAUAUUCUGACACGUGGCUACAUCAUAACCGUUGAGGGGUUUUGAUCCAGUACGACGCAGGAUCUAAUCAGUUGACACGUGGUUAAAUCAGGACCACUAUUGAGUAUUGAUCCAGUGUGACUCAGGCCAUCAUCUGCUGACACGUGGCUUCAUCAUAACCGUUACUGAGUUUUGAUACGGUGUGACGCAGGACCUAAUCUGCUGACACGUGGCUUCAUCAGAACCGCUACUGAGGUUUUGAUCCGGUGCGACGCAGGCGGUACUCUGGUUGACACGCGGCUGCAUCUGCACCGUCCGUUAAUCCAAAACUUUGAUUGCUAAAAGCUGAGCCAUCCGAAGUCCGAUUGGGGUGAUCUCAGUGUCAUUUCCAAGGUUUUCGGCUGUUCCGGACACAUCUGUAAGGUCAGAUUUGGGAAAUUCGAAUAGAAGAAGUAGUAAAAAUGGCAGAUGAAAUAAAAGCAGCUGGAAUUGAAAAAUUUGACGGGACAGAUUUUGGAUACUGGAAAAUGCAAAUUGAGGAUUAUCUAUAUGGGAAGAAACUUCAUCUUCCCUUGUUGGGGAGCAAACCAGAAAAUAUGCAAGAAGAAGAUUGGCUACUUCUUGAUAGACAAGUUCUGGGCAUUGUCCGGUUAUCCUUAUCAAGAAGAGUUGCUCACAAUGUUACGAAAGAAAGAUCCACUGCAAGAUUGAUGGAAGCCUUGUCUGGGAUGUAUGAGAAGCCAUCAGCAAAUAAUAAAGUGCACCUGAUGAAAAAGUUGUUCAACUUGAAGAUGGUCGAAAACACUUCUGUGACACAACACCUCAAUAACUUUAAUACCAUCACAAAUCAAUUAUCAUCUGUUGAGAUUGAGUUUGAUGAUGAGAUUCGUGCACUCAUUUUGCUAGCUUCACUUCCAAGCAGUUGGGAAGGCAUGAGGACAGCCGUGAGCAAUUCAGCUGGAAAAUCCAAACUGAAGUAUGAUGACAUUCGAGACUUGAUUUUGGCUGAAGAAGUGCGAAGGAAAGACUCGGGUGAAAGUUCAAGCUCAGGAUCAGCUCUCAACAUCAACACUCGAGGGAGGAGACAUGAUAGAGGCUUAUCCAGAGGCAGAUCAAAAUCAAGAUAUAGAAGUAAAAGCAAGUUUGGACCCAGAAAGCAGGUUGAAUGUUGGAAUUGUGGCAAACCUGGUCAUUUCAUGAGGAAUUGCACAAAACCGAAAAAACCUGAAGCUGACUCUGCAAACGCUACCACAAAUGAGGUGCAAGAUGCUUUGAUUCUUACUGUGCAUAGUCCUGUUGAUGAUUGGGUUCUUGAUUCUGGUGCUUCAUUUCACUGUACACCACACCAUGAAAUGAUGCAAAACUAUAUUGCUGGAGAUCACGGUGUAGUCUAUCUGGCCGAUGGACAACCAUUGGAUAUUGUGGGUUUAGGAGAUGUACAAAUCAAGACAAUGAAUGGAUCUAUAUGGAACUUGCAAAAUGUAAGGCAUGUUCCUGAUCUAAAGAAGAAGCUGAUCUCGGUCGGACAACUUGAUGAUAGUGGUCAUUCAAUCCUUUUUUCUGGAGGUAUGUGGAAGGUAUCAAAGGGAGCAAUGGUUUUGGCUCGUGGAAAGAAAACCGGCACCCUGUAUAUGACCACAAGAUUUGCAGACAUUAUUGCCUCUACUGAAGCAGAAAAUCAAGCACAUCUAUGGCACUGUAGACUCGGCCAUAUGAGUCAAAAGGGGAUGAAGAUACUUCAGUCGAAGGGAAAGCUGGCAGAAUUAAAAAAUGUCGAUCUAGACAUUUGUGAAAGCUGUGUUCUUGGAAAACAGAAAAAGCUCAGUUUCUUGAAGGUUGGCAGGACCUUAAGACCAAGAAAGCUAGAGCUGGUACACACAGAUUUAUGGGGACCGUCUCCAGUAGCAUCUCUUGGAGGUUCUCGGUAUUACGUGACUUUCAUUGAUGAUUUCAGCAGGAAGGUAUGGGUUUACUUUCUGAAAAAUAAAUCUGAUGUGUUUGAAACAUUCAAGAAGUGGAAGGCUAUGGUUGAGACUGAAUCAGGUCUGAAGUUGAAAUGCUUGAGAUCCGAUAACGGAGGAGAAUACAUUGAUGGAGGUUUCAAAGAGUAUUGUGCUGUUAAUGGUAUCAGAAUGGAAAAGACCGUUCCAGGCACACCGCAACAGAAUGGCAUUGCUGAACGAAUGAACCGGACCAUCAAUGAACGAGCUAGAAGCAUGAGGUUGCAUUCAGGGCUACCUCAAACAUUCUGGGCUGAUGCAGUUCAUACUGCAGUUUACUUGAUCAACCGUGGACCAUCAGUUCCUUUGGAGUUCAGAUUGCCCGAGGAAGUAUGGAGAGGAAAAGAGGUACAACUCUCUCAUUUAAAGGUCUUUGGGUGUGUUUCCUAUGUGCAUAUAGAUUCUGAUGCUCGCAACAAGCUAGAAGCCAAAUCCAAGAAAUGUUUCUUCAUUGGUUAUGGAGAUGAAGAAUUUGGAUUUCGGUUCUGGGAUGAUCAGAACAGAAAGAUUAUCAGAAGCAGGAACGUGAUCUUCAAUGAGAAAGUUUUGUACAAAGACAGAUCAAGUGCAGAAACAGAUAUGACUGAUUCAGAUACAAGUCCACAAAGAUCUGAAUUCAUAAGAUUAGAAGGCCUUCCCGAUGUUACUGAGCAGAACAACAAUCAAGAGCCUUUACAAGAAGACUCAAGCAUAUCUGUACCCGCUACUACACAAGAAGAAGCGGAGCAAAUUGAACCAGCUGUUCGCAGGUCUUCGAGGACGAUAAAGCCCCCGCAACGGUUCACACUUUUACUGAAUUACAUUUUGUUGACAGAUGGUGGUGAACCGCUAACUUAUGAAGAAUCCUUACAAGAUGGAAACUCAAGCAAGUGGGAGUUAGCCAUGAAGGAUGAGAUGAGUUCGUUGCUGAAGAACAAGACUUGGGAGCUAACCACACUGCCUGAAGGAAAGAAGGCUUUACAAAACAAGUGGGUUUACAGAGUGAAGACUGAGCAUGACGGAAGUAAACGGUUCAAGGCAAGACUUGUUGUCAAAGGGUUUCAACAAAAGAAAGGCAUUGACUACUCUGAGAUAUUUUCUCCAGUUGUGAAGCUCACAGCAAUCAGAGUUGUUCUGGGGAUAGUAGCUGCAGAAAAUUUACAUCUUGAACAGUUAGAUGUAAAAACAGCAUUCCUUCAUGGUGACUUGGAGGAAGAUAUUUAUAUGCAACAGCCAGAGGGGUUUGCAAUGCAAGGAAAGGAGAAUCAAGUCUGCAAGCUACAGAAAAGCCUAUACGGUUUGAAGCAAGCUCCAAAACAUUUUGACAACUCCUACAUCAUUCUACUAUUAUAUGUAGAUGAUAUGUUGAUUGCAGGAUCCAGCAUUGAGGAGAUUGAUAAGCUGAAACAGCAGUUGUCAAAACAGUUUGAAAUGAAGGAUCUGGGAGCUGCUAAACAAAUACUUGGCAUGAGAAUCUUCAGAGAUAAAGACAAAGGCGUACUAAAGCUUUCACAAACAGAGUAUGUCAAGAAGGUUCUCAGCAGGUUUAGUAUGGAUAAUACUAAACCAGUAAGUACACCACUGGGGAAUCAUUUCAAGCUCAGCAAAGAUCAGUCACCAAAAACUGAGCUAGAAAGUGGAUACAUGGAUAAGAUUCCAUACGCCUCAGCUAUCGGCUCUUUGAUGUAUGCUAUGGUCUGUACCAGACCAGACAUUGCCCAUGCAGUGGGAGUUGUAAGCCGAUAUAUGAGCAAUCCUGGAAAGCAGCAUUGGGAGGCGGUCAAAUGGAUCAUGAGGUACUUAAAAGGUUCAUCGGAAACUUGUCUUAGUUUCACAGCUGGUGGUUUGAAACUUGAAGGUUUUGUAGAUGCUGAUCUAGCAGGAGAUAUUGAUAGCAGAAAGAGCACUACAGGAUAUGUUUAUACUCUAGGAGGUACUGCUGUUUCCUGGAGUUCUACCUUGCAAAAGAUCGUUGCUCUUUCAACAACAGAAGCUGAAUAUGUUGCAGUCUCAGAAUCUGCAAAAGAGAUAGUAUGGUUGCAGAGUUUCCUGAAGGAAUUGGGCAAGUUGAAUGGAAAAGGUACUUUGUAUAGCGACAGUCAGAGUGCAAUCUUCCUUGCCAAGAAUCCAGCUUUUCACUCCAGGACGAAGCAUAUUCAGAUCAAAUAUCACUUCAUCCGACAAUUGCUAGACGAUAAACAACUGAUGCUAGAAAAGGUCUGUGGAAGCAAGAAUCCAGCUGACAUGUUAACCAAAGGAGUUACACUUGAUAAACUGAAGUUGUGUAAAACUUCAGUUGGUCUUCAAGGAUAAAUGAUGAUUUCAUUGUUUGUCUCCAAGUGGGAGAUUGUUAGUUAGUGGAGACAAACAAUGUCCCACCAUAUGCAAGUGGGAAUACCUAAUCUCCCACUUGGCACAUGGUGGAGGACACAAACGGUGGGCAUAAAUCAAGGCAUGAUUUAUGCCCCUUUACUCCCAUCUUGUAUACAUAUAAGCUCAGUGAAGAGCUGCGUGUGUGAGUGUAAAAACAUAAAGAGAACAGAAGAGAAGUGAGAACAGCAGAGAGAGCUUGUGUGAGUGGAGUUGAGUCGAGAAGAGUUUUCUCCUCCUCAUUUGUUUGUAUUGUUUCUUUGAGUGAUUAAUACAAGACAGUAGCUCCGUGGAGUAGGCAAGUUGCCGAACCACGUAAAUUUGUGUGUGUUUGAGUUCUGGAAUUUCCCAACAAUUUCAUCUCUUCCAUUGAAGCUAUUCUUUCCCUCUAGGUUUUCAACGAGGAAAAUGUUGAGAACUACCUCGUUUUCACUGCCACGCUUCUUGGAGAGUCUAGAUUUAAGUGGAACUCCAAUUUGUUUUCUUCCAGAAAGCAUCAAGGAUCUUGGUCUACUCAGACACCUAUACUUAAAAAAUUGCAAAAUGCUUCAGGCACUCCCAGAGCUUCCAUCCCAUUUAGAUUCGUUAGAUGUGUCCUUUUGCUAUUCACUGCAAAGACUUGCAAAUCCAAACAGUUGGACUGAAGGAGAUGGUUGUGAUCACUUAGUCGAGUUCCAAGAUCGGAUGAAGCAAGAAUUAAUCCAGAAGUUUGACUCUCACGUGUUCAGAAUAAUGGAAACGAUUAGUGCUCAAAUACAGCCAUCGAGAUUUCAG